rnacentral:misc_RNA from 1 species
UUUGUUUUUUUUUUUUUUUUAUCUGGAAUGUAUCAAGGUUUCAAUAGUGCUUAUUGCUUCAUAUUCUACAAGUGACGCACCAUUAUCAGCUUUUUACAACGAGGAAAAUAAAUGAAUUCUAAGCAAUGCAGACAGAUGUGGAAAAGUAGACGUCUAAGUAGCACAUAAAAGAAUGUUCUAACACAAUCAAAGGUUCAAAUCAUUGGGUUACACAAGCUAGUUGCUCAAAAGAAAGGCUAAAUUACUAUGGGGUCCCCACUUAUAACAUUAUUUAUUACUAUGUCCCUCUAUUUUAAAAAAUGGAUUAAAAGGUCUUUUAAUUUUAUUUUCGUCCUACAAUAAGGUCCCUGUAUUCAUUUCUUAGUAUAUUUCAGCAUAAUCUGCUAAUUAAAUAACACAAGA